AUUCAUUACAUUUUUUUGUUGUACAAGCCUGGAGUUUCACUCAAGACGGAGCCUGUAACAGACAGGGCUUUGCAAUCGUCCAAACUACAGCCUCAAACGGUACCUCCGACUACACAGAGGAGUUCGGAACACCAAACCAAUGCAGCUUUCUGCUUAUUAUUGUCUGAAAGUCAACGCGAAACCAUGAGGGAGCGGCUUAGGCCGCACAGCCUGGAACUGGCAGUGAUGGUCCUCACUCCUCCCCGGGGCUGGCUGGUGACGUUGGACCUUUGAUUGGACAAGCUGGCCCACAAUCAAGUAGAAAGACCCAAGGCAGAAGGAUGGCGGGCAUCAAGAUCCUCUUCCCUAUGAGGAGCAGGCUAUAUAUCCAGCAAAGGAGGUUCAAGGCUAUUCCUGAAGCAAUGGGAAGACAGGAAUAGAGCAAAAAUCUGGAAGCAACAUUGCAGUCUGCUCUUCCCAGAUAUGCAUAAAGGUCUGAAGAUUCUACGAUCAUACAGGCUCGAUUACUAUGCCUGCAAGCCUAGAGCAUACAAACAUCUGCCAGAUUCACGCAGGACCUGCAGAUUCAACCUUCCUGACCUCAAGGAAACCCCAAGCCGAGACCCUACCAGCCCAGGAAUGAAACCUGACCUUGCAGUGAUGUGACCCUGAGGAGGCCUGACCGGCCAGGAACCUUGAGGGUGACUGGACAACGUGGAAGCCCAUCAGAACUGACUCCAAGAAGCCCCGGAGUGCCAGUGGCUGCAAGUGGUGCUAAGGACUCUAUCAAGUACACACAAUUAUCUGGGUGCAACUGACUUCCAUCACCAACACCCAGAAUGGACGAGAAGCAGGAAAUGUGGGAGACAUGCUGGCCUGUAGGUGAAACAACAUGGCUUCAAGUCCCCUCUCCCCAGCAUACUCCUGGCAAACACCCAUGCUACUGAAAACAACAUUAGAGUUAGACUUACCUUCCAGAGGGAACUAAGUGACUGUUGUCUGCUCUGUUUUACAGAGAUAUGGCUCACUCCUAUUACACCUGACUGUGUCUUACAACCUGAGGAUUUCUGUAUAUAUCGCAUCGAUUCUAUGGCAUCCUUGGGAAAGGCAUGGGGCAAUGGGGUCUGCCUCCAAAUCAACGCCUCCUGAUGCUCAGAUGUGGUGAUUCUGGUGAGUUGCUGCUCCUCAGACCUAGAACAUCUAACAACUGCCAUCCCUACUACGUGCCAUGCAAGUUCACCUCCGCUAUCCUUACAGCAGUCUACAUCCUAUCCCAUACAGAAGUGAAGAAUGCACUUGAUAAAAUAUACAUCGCUACAAAUAGACUUGAGACAGAAUACCCAGAGGCCUUGUUCAUCAUAGCCGGUAACUUCAACCAGGCCAACCUAAAGAAUUUGCAACCAAUUUACCACCAUGUCUCCUGCCACACCCCAGAGGUCAAAACAUCCUUCAUCACUGCUAUGCAACUAUCAAAGAUGCCUACUCUCCCUACCCUGUCUGCAUUUUGGAAAAACAGAUUGCAAUACUGUGUUUGUCCUCUGGCAUAUAAGCACAAGUUGAAACAUGAGGACCCAGUACAGAAAGUAGUACAGUGCUGGUAUGAGAGAGCGGAAGAGCUUCUAUGGGACUGCUUGGAAUUGGUGGACUAGUCCACAUUCAAUCACUCAGCAGCCAGCCUAAAUGAGUAUGCCACUACCAUUACAGACUUCAUUAGCUCGUGUGCCAAAGAAUGCCAUGGAUGCAUUGGGCAAUCCAUUGCCUACUGAAUUCUAGCUGUGUGGCAUUCAAAUGAGAAGACUCUGGCUUUUACAAGAAACCCAUAAGGUCAUUAAAAAUGCCAAGAGGCAAAACCGGACUCAGCUAGGGACACAAACUAACCAUACGGACACCUGCCAUUUUGUGGCAAGGCCAACAUGACAAAAUGGUCUACAAAUGGAAGCAGAACAGAAUUGCAGACAAAUACAUCCCCCCCAAUGUGCAAAAUGCAUUUUGUGCUCGGUUCCAAUAGAAGGCCAGUGAAACAAUGUCACUUGCCCCAAUAACCUCCGAUGUACCUGUUCCCCUCAGUUAACACUGCAGAUGUCCGAUCGGCCUUUUUCGAGAGUGAACCCACGGAAAAUGACUGGCCCGGAUUGAGUCCCCAGCCAUGCACUCAGAUCCAGUGUGGGAAAAGCUGGUGAGAGUAUUUGCUGAUAUCUUUAACCUCUCCUUAUUACAAUCUGAAGUUCCCACCUGCUUCAAGACUGCCAUCAUCACAGUGCCAAAGAAAACUUAUACAACUUGUCUCAAUAAUUACUGCCUGGUGGUUCUGAUCUUCACUGUUAUUAAAGUACUUCAAAAGGUUAAUCACGGCUUACAUCAACUCUAGCCUUCCAAACUACAUGAACCCCUUGCAAUUUACCUACUAUUACAACAUGUCCACUGCAAACGCCAUCUCCCUGGCACUAUUCUCAUCCAUGGAAUGUCUGGAUAAUAAGGAUACCUAUGUCAGGCUCCUAUAUACUGACUACAGCUUCGCCUGCAAUACCAUCAUUCCAAGCAAACUAAUUUCUAACCUUCAAGACCUAGGUCUCCGCAUCACCCUCUGCAACUGGAUCCUUGACUUCCUGAUCCACAGACUGCAGUCAUUGAGAAUGGGCAACAACACUUUGAGUAUGACAAUCCUCAACACUGGCACCCUGCAAGGCUGCGUACUCAGCCUAUUUCUAUUCUCCGCGUACACUCAUGACUGAAUGGCCAAAUUUUGUCCUAACUCCAUCUACAAGUCCAAUGACAACAUGAUUGUUGUAGGCUGGAUCUCAAACAAUGAUGAGACAGAAUUCGGGAAAUAGAGAGUGUGGUGGCAUGGUGUGAAGGUAACAAUCUUUCCCUCAACAUCAGAAAAACUAAAGAACUGGUCAUUGACUUAAGGAAGCAAGGUAGAGGACACACCCCAGUCAAUGGAGCUGAGGUGGAAAUGGUUGAGAGUGUCAAGAUUCUGAGAGUGAUGAACACCAUCCUGGUCCAUCCAGUGAUGCAACAUGCAAGAAAGCACAAUAAUGCUCUACUUUCUCAGAAGGCUCAGGAAAUUCGCAUGUCCAUAAAAACUCUUAGCAAUUUUUAUAGAUGCACCAUAGAAAGCAUUCUCCCUUCUCUCUGCCUCAGGAAAGCAGCCAUCAUAAUCAAAUAUCCCUCUUGCCCCAGUUAUAAUCUUUUCUAACCUCCUCCAUUGGGCAGAAGAUACAGAAACUUAAAAACACCCAACAGAUUGAAGAAUUGCUUCUUCCCCACUGUCAUUAGACUUCUGAACAGACCUUUCAAAUUUUAAAUUUAAUGUUGAUCUCUCUCUUUCAUGUACUUCGUCUAUAGCUGUAACAUCAUAUUCUUCAUACUGUUCUAUUAACCUUCGGCACUUCAGUAUGACUUGUCUGUACUACUCACAAAACAAAAUUUUUCACUGUACCUAGGUACAUGUGACAUGAAUAAAUCAAAUCCAGAUCAGUCAGGACAUUCCACUCCUUACCAAAACAAAAUCCUGCGAUCACCUCUGGUUCUUUGGCAUUGACAAUGAAUGCAGCCUUUCAUAAUAUGAGCAAAUGGGACAAAGUAUUAAAGAUAUAAAGACUUUGUCACUCUUUACCAACUCAAACCACUGUGCAUAUUAUGACACUGUGGUGAGAAUGCAGCUACUGUAAUAGUGUCAAAUGUGAAAAUGGCCUACAUUUUUCAAAAAAAUGGUCAUGCUUGGUUUUAGAUUGCUGCUGUUCAUUAUUCUGUCAUUCACACUUCUGGAUAGUUUGCUUCUUUACUUACCCUGAGGCUACUUCCUUUGGCUCUGGAGUGGAUACUCAUGAUUUAUAGGAUCCCAUCUUCCACCCUAUCACAGACAGACACAACUUUGUUUUGUUCGUGUUCUCUUGUGCCCACUUUUAACUGACCAAAAUGCUUUUACAUUUCUAAUUUUUUGCUAGGUUUGCUGAAAGGGCAUCAAACUGAAAUGUUAACUGUUUCUGUCUCCCCAAAUCUGAUAUUUUAUUGGAAAAUCACAUAGCUAUUUUGAAUUUGGGAUCAUUAUUGAA